UAUACUUGUAAAUGUUUAGAAAGCUUCAUUAAACACAUGGAGACUAAUUAAAGCGGAAUGAAUUGUUCACUCUGUUAUUAUAGGGCAUGAGUGCUCGGACACAGACGAUGAGUCCCAUACACUGAAUCUGUCAGCAUUUGGACAACGAAGCAAGGGAAACAGGAGCAGAAGCAGUGAUCACUUCAGUUCCUCAUACAGGGUUUCACCAGAAAUAAUGAAAUCUCCUAUCAUGAAGAGGGUUUUUUUGCAGAGGUCUUAGAGCAGUUGUUUGAACGUCAUGUGGACAAGAACAAACAUUGACUAGAUGAGGACAAAAUGCGCCAUCUACUGGAGACUCUGCGCAAUGACUUGUAAAGUCCAGCGAACACACCUACCUGUGGUGCAGAGCCUGAGACUGGUGAAGAGACAGAGACUGACCUUC
rnacentral:lncRNA from 8 species